rnacentral:rRNA from 1 species
CAGUAGCCGCGGUAAUACGGAGGGAGCUAGCGUUGUUCGGAAUUACUGGGCGUAAAGCGCGCGUAGGCGGUUACUCAAGUCAGAGGUGAAAGCCCGGGGCUCAACCCCGGAACUGCCUUUGAAACUAGGUGACUAGAAUCUUGGAGAGGUCAGUGGAAUUCCGAGUGUAGAGGUGAAAUUCGUAGAUAUUCGGAAGAACACCAGUGGCGAAGGCGGCUCACUGGACGACUGUUGACGCUGAGGUGCGAAAGCGUAGGGAGCAAACAGGAUUAGAGACCCCCGUAGUCCCUGUCUCUUAUAC